GGUGGCUCAGUGGUAGAGCACUUGCCUUGCAUGCUCGAGACCCUGGGUUCGAUUCCCCAGCACCA
rfam:Dipodomys ordii contig_8910, whole genome shotgun sequence.